rnacentral:lncRNA from 1 species
AAGUUGCUGGGCUAGGGGUUGAAUUGGACCUGCAGUUGCAGGCCUAUGCCACAGCCACAGCAACACCCAUUCUGAGCCACAUCUGUGACCUAUGUCUCAGCUUGCAUCAAUGUGGGAUCUUUAACCCACUAGUGGAGGCCAGGGAUUGAACCUGCAUCCUCAUGGAGAUGAUGUCUGGUUCUCAACUCACUAACCCACAGUGGGAAUGCCAGAGCCUGGGAUUUUAAGCACUAUGCUUUCUGUAUCACACUCUUUAUGUAGCACUCAAUUGUUGAUAGUUGCUAUUCAUUUUAAUCGUGACAUUAUUUUUAUAAUCAGAACUGACUCCUCCAUGCAUGUCUCCACCUGCUCAGAUCUACCCAAUGGAGUUUUUGAUUCAUGACCCCUUUACCUUAGCAGCAGUCCAAAUUUUGUCAUUUUGUACCUAGAGCCAAUGUGUCUAUUUUUGUUACUGGAAACUCUCCAGUGGAUAUUUCUAUUCCGAACAAACCUCUUGAAGCUUUCCCAAAUGCCACCAUUUGGAAAACCUUAGAGUUGAAUGCUGCCACACUUGUCAUUUGAUGGUCUCAUGUCAUAUAGGAGGUCACAGAGAAGUCACAUAUUCAAGUUCUCCUCAAAACAUUCCGUACGUCAGGGCUGUGCUACAUAAAUGUAGCAUGCUUGUCGUCAAUGUACGAUAACAGUUUGUCAAAUACAAUUCACUGAGUCCAAUUGAAAUUAAUGAAGGGUGUAAAAAUGACAGCUAUCUGACAUAUUUCAAAUCUCAAUUUGACAUUUACAACCUUUUAAAGUUAUUUUUAAAUGCAGCAGUGUUUAAAAUGUAUUGAAUAUAUCAUAUGCCGCUAAACCAGCGUUGGAUGACUGGGUGUGUAGCCAUGGAAAUUAACACAGGGCCACAUUCCCUAGCUUAGGGAAAAAAAAAAAAAAAAGCACAGUAGCACAGUAUAUCUAGAUGUAAAGGAAAUAAGGCAAGGCAUCUUAUUAAAAUUAAAUAAAUGCCAUCUUCUACCUAUCUUUCGGGGGGAUAGGUAUUCAUUUCCAGGGAAAUCUGUGUAUUGAUAAAACUCUGAUACAGGUAGAAAUGUGCAUAUGUUCCUGUCCAGGCUUAGCGAUGGAGGCAGCAGCAGCAGAGAACAGUGGAUGAUGAAGACAGCUCUGUUUAGGAAGGCAUGGUGCUGCUGGGAGCUGUGCGUGUGGGAUGCUACAGAGGCUAAAUUCUUUGAGAACUUGUGCCCAGGUUUGGCUUCAGUGAUAACUUGAUGAUUCUGACCUUGGACAUGACACUAUGACUUGAUACUUUAUUUGUAAAAAUACAAUAAACACUGGGACAAAUUCACUGGGUGGAAUUAUAAUUGAUCCAUUGAGGUAAUUGUGUCUGAAAUUGCUUCAGGGCAUCUGGAACAUGAUAUAAAAUGUAAAUUGUUAUCAUUCAAUCGUAUAUAUUGAAUAUCAUUAAACUAGACUUUCCCCACCUAGUUUCUUGACAAAACCCUCCUGGCCUGGACAGCCCAAUGCAACACUGUUGCUCAGCUAGACACAUGCAGAAGCGGAGUUGGGGGGUGGUACUCUGAGAUGAAGGCAACCUUCUUCCAUGGCACCACCUGAUGCAGCCCAGGACCAAGGCUUUCCCUAUCUUCUGCCAGCAGGACUUAAUGUUCCAGGAUUCCAGACAAAGGGGACCCUAUACCCCUAUUUCAACCAUGAAUGCUCCUUUUGAUCUAUUUUAUAUAUUGCAGUGUGAAAGGAAACUGGCUAAUGAAGACAAAUGAGGAAGAUUGAUUUUGAUGUGCUAACCGCCACUAUGAUCUAAAAAGAGAGAGGUACAUAGUAAUAACAAUCCACUGAGAACAAGAGUGAGAGAAUGAUUGGGACCCGGUAAUGCAAAGCCCUGGGGACCAGCAGAAGGUUAGCAGACGACCAUUUCUUCUCAUAAUAUAAUUCAUAUUAAACCAGUGGGAGGCCCAUAUUCCUUUCAGUAUUCCCAGAGCUUAGUCCAGGGAUAGGCACAUAGGAAAUAUGUGAUGGAAUUUGACUGAACAGAUUUAUGAGGGAUUGUCUUAUGAACCAGAGUGUGUUUAUUAACAAGUGCUAUUUUAUUCAACUUAGCCCGUCUGUCUCACGCUCAUCACUCCAGUCUGUUAUAGCACUUAGAAGACAGAAUCCACAAGAAGCCAAAGAAAGCCACUCAUUGGCCCAUGAUGGAUAGAAUAGCACAGUAUAGCACUGGUUCUCAGAUACAAACACAACAAUCUAUUUGUUUCAACAACGGUUCAUUCUCUCAAACUAUAAUUUAGAGUAGUUGAUUCUAUCUUAUAAAGUACAGUGAGAUAAAAGUUUCUAACCCAGUCUGUUCCUUUCUGUUCACUUUUCCCAAUUUUCUAAAAAAAGAUAUUCUAAAUACAUUUUUUUGCAUCCUUAGACAAGGAAGAAAAACAGAAGUAAAAUUCAAACUGACUGCGAAAAGAAGACUUGGGGAAAAGAGAAGAAUGACAUGGAAAUGAAAUUAUGAUGCAGUCAUUGUGACACAGAGAAUCACUUCAACAAAUUGCAUGUUCCCUGUCAGGUAUUCAAAUAGUAAUGGUAUCGUGGACUAGAGUCAACAAGCAUGAACAGGACAUGAUAUCCUACCUGUGUAAUCUUGGGCAAAAACAUUUCUGACCCUCAGUUUUGUCAUCUCUAAAAUGGGAGUAAAAUAAAAUACGAUAGUACACGGCUGGCCUAACUUGGAAAGGUCGUUACAUCUGGACUAGGAAAUAAAGUGUAUGAGUAACACAUGAGGCAUUCUGCAAAGAAUGGCACCUGCACAAUUAAGGACAAAAUGACUGGAAGAAACAAAUUUAUCCUCCACCUCCUUCAAAUGAUUUCCUAAAAUUUAAAGACACAGGUGGGACGUUCACCCAAUAACAAAGAACAGUUCCAUUCAUUUUUUGGAUGUUGUGCUUUACUAAUUAAAGUGUAUAGGGUAUAGAUUUUCUCAACUGAAAAACUUGCUAUUGUCUAUUUGUCCACAAACAAAGCCAUGAGAGCAGUCACUAAAGAGGAACAUCACUUAAAAGAAAAAAGGAGAAUCUAUUUCUCUUCCAAGAGAGGACAUGUGGGGGUCCCAUCCGACAAGCUUUCAAUACCUCUCUCCACCAAAGCACAAAAGCCUUUUCAGGAAACACUGGACAACCCUCCAAAAAAAUUAUGUUUUGUUUUUUUGCAAAUCUGUAGGCCCCGGCAAGACACAAAGCAACAAGCUCUAGUCCAUUAGUAUGACAGGUAGCGCUCUUACUAACAACUGCUUUUUACUCCCUCUGACAAAUGUGCUUGGUGCCACGGUUGACGUUUGUGUGGUAAUCAGGAGUGAUGGAGAGGGGACGUCGGCGCUGCCGAAAGUGCCCCCCGAUUUAAUGUGAACGAUUUGUCAAACGUGCUGUGAUAGCAAUGCUGUCAGCGCCGGGCAGGGAAGCACUCUGUCAUCUUUGCGCCAACCAAGGUCACUUUGGCAGGGAAAGGAGGGCUGGCUCUCGCCAGUGAAACGUUCAUGUGUACUGGUGAUGCGCAUGGCCUACUUUCACAACUUGUUUUUCCUUCUAUUAACAGAUAGCCAUCUCAGGGUUGGGGAGACACUCCCCUGGGGGGAAGUCUGCAACAAGAGAUGGUCCCCCGGGUGAGCCACUAGCCAUCGCUGAGGGGCAACAGCCCAGGUUGCAGACAGAAAAGCCAGGAGCCCAUGCAAACCAAAAGCAUUCAGAUGUCUUUUUCCCUGGCUGAAUACAGUUAUUGCCUCACUUGCAUUUCAAAUACAAUGUUGACAGUUUUAGUUCUUAGUGUUACAUUGGGUGCUAUGACUCCUAGUUUUAUACCCUGACCUUCUGAGCAUCAUGUCUCCUUAGCCUCAAAACAAAACAAAACAAAACAAAACCCGCAAAGGUCCAAUGUGGUCUUCACACAGUGGCCUCAAUGCUUUGGCCAAAUUUAACAAAAAUAAGAGAAAGAAAAAGUAGGUAAAAGCAAAGGGAAUAUGUUUUCUGUUAUUCCUAAAAAGAACUAGAAACAAUAGAUUCUCCAGGGGAGGCUGGAUUGGAUGUCUUUGUUUCCUAUUCGUGUCAUAUUCUUUCAGGCCUCCGUCACUGCCCUGGGCAUGUGUCCUAGACCAGACUGGAAGCAACGGAGGGCAGGGAUUAUGUCUUGAAUUUUGUAGCAUCAUCAUCUAGCACAGUAUCAUCGAGCGCAGUAAAUAAAACACGAAGGGAUAUAAUCCAUAGAAAUGACUGCCAGAAAAUGGAGUGAAAGGAAACAGGGAUCCAUGCCAGAGAGUGCCGACUGGGUGCCAACACAGUGAUGCAUUUUGUUUGUGGCGGAACAAUAUAUGGAAAAAACAGUGAUUUAGCAGAUAGAAGGGAUAGAGUCUCAUAAACCCAGAGGAAUGGUCAUCAACUGGUGAUAUGCAGGCCAAAUAGGGCAACAGGCAAAAUUCAGAUUGCAAACAGUUUAUACCAGGCAACAUUAGCCUGUGAAAUGCUUCCUCUGUGUGUGUGUGUGUGUGUGUGUGUGUGUGUGUGUGUGUGUGUGUUGUGGUGUGUUGUGUUUAAUUAGUCACAAGCAUAUAAACAGUGGGAGCUUUUACCUAAGAACAUACACUUGGAUUCUCUGGGGAAGAAACGGGAUGACCUGGCAGUGCUGGGCUGAGUACCAACAGCUGCCCCCUUCAGAUGGCAUCCACUCUUCAGCUUCUCUAGCCUCAAGACUCACAUGCCAGCUGCCCUUGGUCACCGGGUUUGCAGUUUACUUUUCUAACAGCAAGGAGACACUUCUCUCUAUUAGUUCUCUAUCAAAAGUGGCUCAGAGCCCUGGAUGAAUUUCUUCAUUGUUGGCUCUUGCUCCCUCUUCAUUUACAUCAUCUAUCCUGGCCCAGUGGGCAUUGGACCUGGUGACC